CAGAGCCUGGGCGCGAACCCAGAGACUCUGGUGGCGCUGCCCCUAGACCACUGCGCCACCCGGGAGACCCGUAGAUGGCGUUUUAAGCUACCCUGGGUCGUUGGACAUUCAAGCCAAUCACUGCGAAGCAUCAUUUUUAGCGUCAGACCAAUCAGGUGCAAAAUGUUAUGCUGCACAACAUAAACGUGGAGCCUUUGCUGUUAAGUAGCAAGCUAGCUAAUUUCGCCUUUGCAUACAUAUAACUAUAUCAAUUUCCUACAUUUAUUAGCGAUGGUAAGUACACUAUUUAAUAGAUAUUAACGUACAAAUGAAUUGUAAUCUAAGGAUAAAGCUACUCCGUAGAUUAGCUCAAACACAUAAUUGCAGAGAACAUAAGGAGAAGUAGAUGAUUCAGCUGGCAGAGAACAGAGAGGAGUGCAGGUAUGUAGAUGUCUCUACCCAAUCAAUUAACUAGAUAAAAAAAGGCAUCUCCUGUUUCGGUAGUGUGAGGCAGCUUUAUGUACAAGUACAACCCCUGGACAGGACRUUAGUCUGUUGCAGGGCCUUGAAUACCUAAAACAUAUGGUGUGUCGGCCCUGCUAUGUUGUCCAUUAUUUCCAGAUAAUGUACAGAGGGUCUGYGUUUAUCCCUUAYGAAUAGUAUAGGCUAAUACUGUAGGUUACAUGUCAGAAAAGCAGGACMGUUGCUGUGGAUUUAAACAUGUUUACUUCUCUUUUGAAGGCAUUCAAAUGACGGGGUAAAGAAACGACAUACAGCAUCAGUUCGGAGGAGAUGACGAGACGUACAGAUGGGCCAGAGAAGAUGUCAGCCACAGCCCUCUGCAACUACCUGAGGGUAUGUGAGGACCCGGCAAUGGUGUGUGCAAGAUGGCCUGUGGAUUGCUCUGUGAAAACAGCAUAACGGGCCUGAGGCCUUAGGACCACGUCUGAGAGCUGCUACUCCCUCCUUUUGGAUCCGCCUUCCUCUUUCCCUGCAACCAUCGGGACGUUAAACUACAGUACCACCACAUAUGGGUGGCCAUUAUUUUGUCGGCAAACCCUAUUCUCAUAUACCUUCCUUUCUUUACUUMAUGAAAAGCCAUCUGACCAUAACUGUUUUGGUAGUUCUGUUAACUGUUUUGAGUGCAUAGGUUUUCCCACAGUUUGCCAAACCAAUUGAGAAAAUUGUAACAAACUUGUAUUUGACCAGAUUCAGGCUCACCUUUUCCUUUAUUUUGUGUGUGGUGUUUCGGAAACUAUCAGAAAGCCUUUGGUUUAAGUCCUCCAGGUGUUGUUUUUUUUAGGAAUUAUGUGAUGUUGGUUCAUUUUUUUAUCACAUGGACUUCAACCUUURUAUCCCCUUUCACUGGGGUUUUUGUCCAACACCAUUUUCUAAAUGAAUUCUGCCAUACUGGUAAUGGCGUCUGCCUGCAAAACAAAAUAACAUUACAAUGCGCUGUUUCGCUGUAGCAACCCCAGCCAACCAGAAACCAGCUAACUGCAUUUUUCCUCUGGACCUAAACUAACCCUGACAACCUGCAUCUCCCUACUCCCUGUGAAGGGAGGCCUUCAAGAGGUGUGUGCCUUGUCUUAGAGCAAAUUGGAACAGAAAGGGGUGGAACUGGCACAGAGGGUAAAUUAAUGUAUAUUUUUUGUCAUAGAUAUGAACAAUCUGGGGAAUACAACCUGUUUAACAACUCAUUUAUCGAAAUGUACCUGAACUUCACAAGUAUAGACAACUGAAAAACUUGACUUGAGCUCUAAGUUCUCAUUGAUGUGGAUACUAACCCAUAUAGACUUUUAUCUUUCCAUUACUUCAGAGUAGAUUUUUGUUUUAACAGUAUAAGGAGUUAACUUUGAAGUUAAAACUUACCUCACAGGAAUGUUUUGUCUCGUCUUGAGGUAGGUGUAGGUUUCUCUUUGACAACUUGCGACAGAGAUCACUGAGUCACCUAGGUGAUCACUGAGAGGUGGGCCUUUGUCGUCUUUACCACAGGGCCUGUGGUGACGUAAGCAAAGGCUCCACCCGUUUCAGAUCCAGUGGCGUGUAUUCAUGGAUGCCAAGGGAAGACAGGCUUCCUCAAAGAAUUGACCAAGGAAACAAACAUAUAAAAUAAUGUAUCUUUUGUC